AACGAACGCUGGCGGCAUGCCUAACACAUGCAAGUCGAACGAGACCUCCGGGUCUAUUGGCGUACGGGGGCGGCAGGCGUGGGAACAUGCCCUUAGGGUCGGAAUAACUCCCCGAAUGGGGUGCCAAUACCGGACAAUGGCUUCGGACCAAGGAUUUAUCGCACUUGGAUGGGCUGGCGUUGGAUUAGCUAGUUGGUAGGGUAAAAGCCUACCAAGGCGAAGAUCCAUAGCUGGUCUGGGAGGAUGAUCAGCGACACUGGGACUGAGACACGGCCCAGACUCGUACGGGAGGCAGCAAUGGGGAAUAUUGGACAAUGGGAGACAGCCUGAUCCAGCAAUGCUGCGUGAAUGCUGACGGCCUUAGCGUCCUAAAGCUCUCUUACCUGGGCUCAUAAUGACAGUACCGGGACAAAAAGCUCCGGCUAACUCCGUG
rnacentral:rRNA from 1 species